rnacentral:rRNA from 1 species
CAGACGGCAGUGCAAGUCUGAUGUGAAAGCCGGGGCUCAACCCCGGAACUGCAUUGGAAACUGUACAGCUUGAGUGUCGGAGAGGUAAGGGAAUUCCUAGUGUAGCGGUGAAAUGCGUAGAUAUUAGGAGGAACACCGGUGGCGAAGGCGCUUACUGGACGAUGACUGACGUUGAGGCUCGAAAGCGUGGGGAGCAAACAGGAUUAGAUCCCUGGUAGUCCACGCUGUAAACGAUGAAUACUAGGUGUGGGUGUGCACUGCACAUCCGUCCGCAGCUAACGCAGUAAGUAUUCCACCUGGGGAGUACGUUCGCAAGAAUGAAACUCAAAGAAUUGACGGGGACCCGCACAAGCGGUGGAGCAUGUGGUUUAAUUCGAAGCAACGCGAAGACCUUACCAGGCCUUGACAUCCCAAGGAAAGCUUCUUAACCGGAGCCCCUCUUCGGAGUCUGGAGACAGGUGGUGCAUGGUUGUCGUCAGCUCGUGUCGUGAGAUGUUGGGUCAAGUCCCCAACGAGCGCAACCCUUGUCCGUAGUAGCCAGCAGUAAGAUGGGAACUCUACGGAGACUGCGGGGAUAACCCGGAGGAAGGUGGGGAUGACGUCAAAUCAUCAUGCCCCUUACGGUCUGGCGACACACGUGCUACAAUGGCGUAACAAAGGGAAGCGAGCCCGCGAGGGGGAGCAAACCCAAAAAUAGCGUCCCAGUUCGGACUGUAGUCUGCAACCCGACUACACGAAGCCGGAAUCGCAGUAAUCGCGGAUCAGAAUGCCGCGGUGAAUACGUUCCCGGGUCUUGUACACACCGCCCU